UUCCAGGAAAGAAAAAGCUUCCAUCUGUCUGUUCUUGUAGUCAGCUGUCAAUUUUUCAUUUGAUUUUAAUUUGUUGCUUUUCUCUUUAUUAUUUACUUUCUUGGGAUGAAUGGUCCUCGUGUCAUUCGAGCUAAGAAAAUGUUUCACUAUCUCAAUGACUCGGUGAUCUAUUAUGAUGUAUCUGAUUCAAUAAAUCAAUGAUAAGCUUUCGUGCAAGUGAUGAUUGAGAAC